UACGAGGGGGGGCAAGCGUUGUUCGGAAUUAUUGGGCGUAAAGGGUGCGUAGGCGGUUUGGUAAGUCUUAUGUGAAAUCUACAGGCUCAACUUGUAGUCUGCAUGAGAAACUGCCGGGCUUGAGUAUGGGAGAGGUGAGUGGAAUUCCUGGUGUAGCGGUGAAAUGCGUAGAUAUCAGGAGGAACACCUGUGGCGAAAGCGGCUCACUGGACCAUAACUGACGCUGAGGAGCGAAAGCGUGGGGAGCGAACAGGA
rnacentral:rRNA from 1 species